UACGUAGGGUGCAAGCGUUGUCCGGAAUUAUUGGGCGUAAAGAGCUCGUAGGCGGUUUGUCGCGUCGGCUGUGAAAACUCGGGGCUCAACCCCGAGCCUGCAGUCGAUACGGGCAGACUAGAGUGCUGUAGGGGAGACUGGAAUUCCGGGUGUAGCGGUGGAAUGCGUAGAGAUCCGGAAGAACACCGGUGGCGAAAGCGGCGCGCUGGACCUCUUCUGACGCUGAGGCGCGAAAGCCAGGGGAGCAAACGGG
rnacentral:rRNA from 1 species